rnacentral:lncRNA from 1 species
GAACUACUGAGCUUGCAAGAAGGAAUUGGCGUCAACCUUCAGUUUGUUGUUAGCUGCUCGACUUGCGGAGACAUCAUCGCGACACGGCACUCACCAUCAAUUGGCAAGUCUCGACAGAACGAACUCGCAGUACGUCUCGGCGUUGUUGGAAGAGACUGUAUCAUCAGUUUCACAAAGCUCACAAAUGUUUUCGAGGGCCUCAAUGCUCCACCCUCGAUGCACGUCAAGUCUUACCAGAAGAUUGCAGCGAAAGUGCACUACGCAGCGAUGAGUGACGCAAUGAGGGCCGCUGCACAAGCCGUCAGGGAUGUGCAACCGACCGGGGACCCGAGCGCCGGCAGCGAUCGUUUAGAUGUCUGCAUCAGCUACGAUAGCACGUGGCAUAAACGUGGUCAUACAUCGCGGUUCCGAGUUGGCGUAGCGACUAAACUGGAGACCGGCUAGUAGCUUGACUUUUCGGUCCAAAGCAAGUAUUGCAACGGGUGCGAGUUGAGCCCCAAGAAAGACAAUGAACACUUCAAGGAGUUUUUCAAUGAACCGGGAACCGCCAUGCACAUCUGGUCAAGUUCUGGUUUGGUCAAAAAUAAUUGUUCUGGUCCAGUUUUUGGUUUCGUUUCAUUUAGACACCAUAAUGUUUUCCCUGGCAUUUAUUGCUUUCCAGGCCUGGCUGUCCAAAACCCUUUGGGAAGUGAGUCAGGUGUUCCGGGAAGUCCCCAACAAGCCGAAGAGAACUCGGCAGAGGUUGAGCAACAGUUGCGCCAGUGGUGUUCCACCCCUACAGAGGACGAGACCCCAAGCCCCUUGUCGUUGAAGCGGGAUGCCACUCCUGAACCCUUAGAACCUGGGGCAGCCCCUUUGGAUACCAGUAACACGGAGGCUGACUUCAUGGACUCUGAUGAGGUGAAGGGGUGUACAACGUGUCCUCAACAGCAGUGGACCCGAUAAAGGAAAGAAAGUACCUGGUAACUCCAUCCCAGCUACUGCUGUUUUCUGUUUGCGUCAACUGCCUGGCUCCAACACUGACGAAGCCACAAGUAUGCCGUCGUCCUUUGUGUGUCGAGCUCUACGUUGGUGAGCAGGGCCACAGCAAGCCAGCUGCUUGACGUGGUGAUGGAGGCACUUAUCGCCCUGCACAUAAUCCUCAUGACCGGGACCAACGGUUUACGGGGCGAAUGUGAUGCGUACAGCCUGAUCUCCGACCUGGCCAUCAUACUAGGAUGGAUUACACUUCAUGCGGAAAGGUGGUGGUACUGACGCUGCCUCCCAUUGCGCUGCAUCACCGACGUGGAAGAAGCUGGCAGACACUAAACAGGGUGACACCAAGCCAGUGGAGAUUCAGCAAACUUUCGUGGUGCAGCGGACGAAAGUGCGAUUUGAUAUGUACGCUGGAUAUGUUGUUCUAGCUUUACUGAAAUCAUAGAAUCACCAGAGGCUCGCGCAGUUUGAUCAAAUUAUAACAACCAUUUCUAUUAGCGAUACGCUGGCAGAGGACAGCAGGACUUGAUCCACUGGAGCGCGGCUGGCAUGGACACCGUCGUGGGCUCACUUUGUGUCGCCCUGCUGGGAGCUGCAAAAGCUCAAAGUACCACCCCCCCUUGGAGGAAGUUUGACUCGAACUGUCAAGGCUGGUUGGUAUAGUAGCUACCAGCUGCGAUACAUACUUUUUUUAUGGACAAUCAAAGGUGAAAUUUCGAAAGGGGGCCUUGAUCGACAAAGCAGAAUGUUUUUCUUUGUGGGCCUACAAUUUUAUUCAACUGUGUCAAUCCCUAAGUGCUGUAUUAUUCUACUACCAAAUGAAGUUUGCCAAAAUGACUGCUUUUGUCAAUUUUCACGUGAGCAUUCCGAAAAAAGUUUACGUUAUAUUACCAUUGAAUUUAGCGUAGCUCUUUCGACUAUAGUUGCAAACACCUGUAAAAAGUUUCAAAUAGAAUGACCUCGUAGGCGACAAAAAAAACCGCGACUGAAUGUGCUUCCGCGAAGUCAGUUUCGGCAGUGCCACGGGCACACCAGAUUGAGUUAUGCCAGGGAACACCAGCGUUUUCUGUGAGGGGGAAGGUUUGCUUUCUGCAUGCAAAGUCUCUCCUGAAGAUCUUAUCUUGCAACAGACUACAUACAAAUGCAAGCAUAGUGUCUUAGUUUGGUGCCCCAUGCUUCUAACUCCAUGCGCUGCACCUCA